rnacentral:rRNA from 1 species
GGUGAACGCUGGCGGCGUGCCUAAGACAUGCAAGUCGAGCGGGGCAGGUUUAUACCUGUUCAGCGGCGGACGGGUGAGUAACGCGUGGGUGACCUACCCGGAAGAGGCGGACAACCUGGGGAAACCCAGGCUAAUCCGCCAUGUGGUCCUGUCCUGUGGGGCAGGACUAAAGGGGCGACCCGCUUCCGGAUGGGCCCGCGUCCCAUCAGCUAGUUGGUGGGGUAAAGGCCCACCAAGGCGACGACGGGUAGCCGGUCUGAGAGGAUGGCCGGCCACAGGGGCACUGAGACACGGGCCCCACUCCUACGGGAGGCAGGAGUUAGGAAUCUGCCGCAAUGGACGGAAGUCUGACGGAGCGACGCCGCUUGGAGGAGGAAGCCCUUCGGGGUGUAAACUCCUGAACUGGGGACGAAAGCCCCGUGUAGGGGGAUGACGGUACCCAGGUAAUAGCGCCGGCCAACUCCGUG